CGUAGGGUGCGAGCGUUAAUCGGAAUUACUGGGCGUAAAGCGUGCGCAGGCGGUUUUGUAAGCCAGAUGUGAAAGCCCCGGGCUCAACCUGGGAAUGGCAUUUGGGACUGCAAGGCUUGAGUGCGGCAGAGGAGACUGGAAUUCCUGGUGUAGCAGUGAAAUGCGUAGAUAUCAGGAGGAAUACCGAUGGCGAGGGCAGGUCUCUGGGCUGACACUGACGCUCAUGCACGAAAGCGUGGGGAGCAAACAGGAUUAGAUACCCUGGUAGUCCACGCCCUAAACGAUGUCGACUGGUUGUUGGGGGUUUGACACUCUCAGUAACGAAGCUAAUGCGUGAAGUCGACCGCCUGGGGAGUACGGCCGCAAGGUUA
rnacentral:rRNA from 1 species